rnacentral:misc_RNA from 1 species
UCCCCGUUACCGAGGCAGUCUGAUUAGACCAAUUCAACUAAUCAUGAGGGUUGCGCUCGUUGAAGGACUUAACCUGACAUCUCACGACACGAGCUGACGACGGCCAUGCAUCACCUGUCACUAGGUUCCUCGCGGCACAGCUCUAUUUCUAGAGCUUUCCUAGGAUGUCAAACCUUGGUAAGGUUCUUCGCGUAGCCUCGAAUUAAACCACACGCUCCACCGCUUGUGCGGGUCCCCGUCAAUUCCUUUGAGUUUUAGCCUUGCGGCCGUACUCCCCAGGCGGGAUGCUUAACGCGUUAGCUUCGCUACCGAAAGGGUCGAUACUUCCGACAGCUAGCAUCCAUCGUUUACGGCGUGGACUAC